CGGGGUGUAGCGCAGUCUGGUAGCGCACCUGAAUGGGGUUCAGGUGGUCGGUGGUUCAAAUCCACUCACCCCGA
rfam:Chloroflexi bacterium RBG_13_51_36 RBG_13_scaffold_500, whole genome shotgun sequence.